rnacentral:rRNA from 1 species
UACGAAGGGGGCUAGCGUUGUUCGGAAUUACUGGGCGUAAAGCGCGCGCAGGCGGUCUUCCAAGUCAGUGGUGAAAGCCCGGAGCUCAACUCCGGAAUUGCCAUUGAAACUGUUAGACUUGAGGAUGAGAGAGGUGAGUGGAAUUCCCAGUGUAGAGGUGAAAUUCGUAGAUAUUGGGAAGAACACCGGUGGCGAAGGCGGCUCGCUGGCUCAUUACUGACGCUCAGGCGCGAUAGCGUGGGGAUCAAACAGG